rnacentral:tRNA from 1 species
GGAGAGGUGCCAGAGUGGUUGAAUGGGGCGGUCUCGAAAACCGUUGUACCGUAAGGUACCCAGGGUUCGAAUCCCGGCCUCUCCGCCA